rnacentral:rRNA from 1 species
AGAUUGAACUGAAGAGUUUGAUCCUGGCUCAGAUUGAACGCUAGCGGGAUGCUUUACACAUGCAAGUCGAACGGCAGCACGAGAGAGCUUGCUCUCUUGG